CGAAAACCACUUCCUGUAAAAAAUUAAUCCCACGGAGGAAGUUUGUGAAUGACCAAUGCUCCCUAUGUUACAUAGUCUUACAUUACAUUACAUCCCCAUAUAGUCUGGAGUAAACUAGAUUUAACCUAAUAAUGUUUGGUGUAUUGAAUGUGUUUUUUUAGUUCUAAUAUAAUAUGCCAUUUACCAGACAGAUUGACAGUCAUGAGUGCAUAUUUUUUUUGUUAAAUGCAUUUGUACGUUCAAACCGUAAUCUUAGACUAUCACAUUGUUUCACGUUGUGACGUUUUAACUUCGUCUAUCUUUGUGUAGCAGAUGCCGGCAUGCUUAACCUUACGUAAAAAAAAAAGUCAAUCUACUCCAUUGCAGUUGUUUGCAAUGUUGUCUUUCUCAGUUUUGUCUCUUCUCCCAGUCAUGUGUUCUGGUCCCAGGUGAGGUAAGCAUGGCAGACAUCAACACAGUGGUGUACCGCGCCAGCGCCUGUCACUGUGUCGUCUGAGCUGCUUAACAUGGAGUCUCCAGUCCUGAAAUAAACCUUUAACAAGUGGAGUGAACUAAUGCAGCUAAGUCCCUGACACAGCCGCCUGUCACAGUAAUCCUGUGUGGCACAGCACCAGGGCCUGUCACAGCCACAUCACCCAAUCAGCAGGGGUGUUGCAAAUGGCAACCUAUUCCCUAUAUAGUGCACUACUAUAAACCAAGACCUAAUGGCAACCUAUUCCCUAUACAGUGCACUACUAUGAACCAAAGACCUAAUGGCAACCUAUUCCCUAUAUAGUGCACUACUAUAAACCAAGACCUAAUAGCCACCUAUUCCCUAUAUAGUGCACUACUAUAAACCAAUAGCUAAUAGCCACCUAUUCUCUAUAUAUAGUGCACUACUAUAAACCAAGACCUAAUAGCCACCUAUUCCCUAUAUAGUGCACUACUAUAAACCAAGACCUAAUGGCCACCUAUUCCCUAUAUAGUGCACUACAACAGUGGGGAAUAGAGUCUCAUUUGAGAGGCAAACUGCAAAUAGACAACAGCCUUCCUCCGGGGGAGGAGUCGGCUUUCUCCUAACUCACCUGGAUGUUACAGUUUGUCAAGUUCAGAGAAUCAUGUUGACCAAUAAAAAGGGACCUGGAUGUUAUAGUUGGUCAGGUUCAGAGAACCCUGUUGACCAAUAAAAAGGGACCUGGAUGUUAUAGUUGGUCAGGUUCAGAGAACCCUGUUGACCAAUAAAAAGGGACCUGGAUGUUAUAGUUGGUCAGGUUCAGAGAAUCCUGUUGACCAAUAAAAAGGGACCUGGAUUUUACAGUACUCUAAAAAAGUGCUUAAUACACACCAUCAUUACAGUAUGUUUUAGGAGGGUUGACAUAAUGAUGUAACCAAACCAUUUAUUUUUUUAUACAAAUUGGGCAACGUCUUGUAUUUUCCUGAAAUGUAUACAAAAUACAGUUCUGAGAUCAUUUUUAGUGAGAGCAGAAUUGGUGGAAAUGACAAAAUGCCAACUAGUUCUGCAUAAAUCAACAAAAGGUUUAAUUUUUAGCUAGAUGUGGAGUUUUUUUUUUUAUGUAGCGAUAAAUUAGAUCAAUCCUGAACUGUGAGAUGUAGUGGGGAGUUGUAAUUUCCAACAGGCCAACAUUGUACAUAGUUUACCUCAGAAAACUUGGUAAUUAACUACAAUGACUAUAAUCCAUUGCGCGCCCGCUGAGAGAAGAGAGAAGCACCGAUCGAGGGAUAGAAAGUUUAGCGAGCCUGAAAAUACAUGAUUUUAGAUAUUCAGCAGUCAUAAAAGUAUGCCAUAUUUACUUUGAAGAAAUACUAAAAUAGUGAUUUUGUCAAACAGCAUAGGCAGUAACUCUAGUAACUCUAUAGAGAUGAGAUGUUGACUUGGAAUUAAAUAAAUAAGUCAUCAAAUAAAACACAUUUGUUGAAAAAAAGGCUUGGUUCCUUUAAGAGGUUUAAAGUAAUGUGACUGCUGUUGAUUGUUUUAUUCUGUGUUACAGAAUUCAACCCACAUAAAUGGGGUUGAAAUUGAAAUACGUGAUUCUUUUUUAAUAAUCGAACCAAAACUGAACCGACCUCAAAAAGGACUAAUCGCUCAGUACUAGAUACAGCAUAAUCUAUUUAACAGAUGAGAUGGUACGCCAAACUAAACAAUGUGAAGGAAGUGUCCAAAAUGGCACUCUAUAUUAUACUCUAAAUGGCCCCCUAUUCCCUAUGUAGAGCACUACUUUUGACCAGCGCCCAAUGGUAGGGAAUAGGGGGCCAUUUGGGAUGCGUAUGAAGUCUGAGGGGUUCAUGAACUGGCAUUAACAUACUUCGAAGAACUCAAACACAAUUGGUAACUGCCUGGUACAGUACACAAUGCUAACUACAGAUGUAGGAUCUUAAUUUGAUCACUCGGAUGUUGCAGGAUAUUUCCUGCACAACAGGAAAUGCAAAACGUGUAGUGUAUUUCAAGGUUUAAAAAGGUGUGUCAUAAGGUGAAUGCACCAAUUUGUAAGUCGCUCUGGAUAAGAGCGUCUGCUAAAUGACUUAAAUGUAAUAUAAUGUGUGUAAAGUUUGUCAUUUCCAUUUAACAGACUUGAACUAUUAAAAAUGUAUCAACACCUUCAAAAA